rnacentral:rRNA from 3 species
GAAUUGACGGGGGCCCGCACAAGCGGUGGAGCAUGUGGUUUAAUUCGAUGCAACGCGAAGAACCUUACCUGGUCUUGACAUCCACGGAAGUUUUCAGAGAUGAGAAUGUGCCUUCGGGAACCGUGAGACAGGUGCUGCAUGGCUGUCGUCAGCUCGUGUUGUGAAAUGUUGGGUUAAGUCCCGCAACGAGCGCAACCCUUAUCCUUUGUUGCCAGCGGUCCGGCCGGGAACUCAAAGGAGACUGCCAGUGAUAAACUGGAGGAAGGUGGGGAUGACGUCAAGUCAUCAUGGCCCUUACGACCAGGGCUACACACGUGCUACAAUGGCGCAUACAAAGAGAAGCGACCUCGCGAGAGCAAGCGGACCUCAUAAAGUGCGUCGUAGUCCGGAUUGGAGUCUGCAACUCGACUCCAUGAAGUCGGAAUCGCUAGUAAUCGUGGAUCAGAAUGCCACGGUGAAUACGUUCCCGGGCCUUGUACACACCGCCCGUCACACCAUGGGAGUGGGUUGCAAAAGAAG